rnacentral:rRNA from 1 species
CAAUAGCGUAUAUUUAAGUUGUUGCAGUUAAAAAGCUCGUAGUUGGAUUUCGGUUAAGAGCGACCGGUCCGCCGUUUGGUGUGCACUGGUUGGUUUUAACUUCCUGUAGAGGACGUGCUCUGGGUUUAACGACCUGGACUCGGAGUCUACGUGGUUACUUUGAAAAAAUUAGGGUGUUCAAAGCGGGCUUACGCUUGAAUAUAUUAGCAUGGAAUAACACCAUAGGACUCCUGUCCUAUUUCGUUGGUCUCGGGACGGGAGUAAUGAUUAAGAGGAACAGUUGGGGGCAUUCGUAUUUCAUUGUCAGAGGUGAAAUUCUUGGAUUUAUGAAAGACGAACUUCUGCGAAAGCAUUUGCCAAGGAUGUUUUCAUUG